CGCGCGCGCGCACACACACACACACACACACACACACACACACACGCGCGCGCGCGCACGUGAAGUCGGGAAUCCCGGGAAUCCCGCUGUGGGCUCGGAAGGCUCGCGGGCCUGGGCGGGUCACGGCGGCUCCGGGGGUGGGGGGGGUGUCAGUGAGUGAAGGGCGGAGCCCACGGUCUCCCUGCCCGGGCGCCUCCUUACUGGACCAGGAGAGCCGAGUGUCCGCGGCAGGGACGCUCGCUCGGCAGCCCUCGGCGCGGCUCCAGGGGCGGCAGAGGUCGCGGAAGGCGGAAAGGUGCGGAACCGAGUGGAGGGGCGUCACGGAGAGGCCUGUCUGCGUGGUACCGGGGGACCCUGAGCUCCAGCUGCAAACAUCGUGGUUGUUCCAGCAGCAGUUUUCACUCACGCGGCUUUGUCCUUUGUUCUCCAAGCUCACUCUUCGUCCCCCAGGGAGUUGAGGGUAGAGCAGUAGAGCUGCCGACCCGUUGUGAAACUCCACAGCCCCUUCUCAUGUGUCCGGGCUGCAGGUGCUGAGAGCCGAAAGCAGCACAUUCUCAGGUGAGGCAGAGCAAUGCUGGUCUCCACGCCCGAGGGCUGGGCUCUUUGUGGCAGCAACGGGCAGAAUGACCUGUACACAGCCUUCGUGAGUCGUUGGUUUUGUCCCGGCUCUGCUCAGUGCCUCUGCGGUGCUGAGCAGCGGAUGCCCAUGCCUUCUGUCCACCAGGAAAUGCCCUGGGGACCAUGAGCGCAUCGGAGUGACAGCUCCCUUGGCAUUGAUUUUUUCCCACCUCAAUUAAAAUAU
rnacentral:lncRNA from 1 species